UUAUCUUUGCUGGGGACUUAGUCAAGGUUGGAGGUGUUUGUUGUCAAGGUGGCCGCCUUAACUAAAAAGCGCUGGGGGAAACCCUGGAUGAUCUUAUGCACUCAGUAUACCCAUUCGGAAUGAAAGGACCUGAGUAGUAAUUGACAUUUAUGUUUGAACACCCCACCUUUCCAGGAUAGGGCAGAACUACAGGACAACUCACAAGAUCACAUUAGUCGGCCCACUGCUUCCCAUAGAGAAGUUACAGAUGAUGUCAACAGUAGGAGCUCUUCUACACCUAGGCUUUUGGAUUCUGCCCUUCAACAGAAUACCAGUCAUGAUGAUGACAUCAACACAGAUGGUCACAUGAGUAACACUUCGACCAAUGGAGAGGAAGAACUCAACAAUUCCAGCAGUGAAGAUGAACUUGAUAGUGAGAACUCUUCCACGACCAGCCUGUUGGAUAUGGACAUUCAAGAGAAUGAUAAUAACCACAUUGACACAGAAGACCACUGGAGUAACACAUCCAGCAGUGAAAAUGAAGAUGAUGAACUUG